rnacentral:piRNA from 1 species
ACCUAGCUUGAGCCCAGUUCUGUGCAGUAGA